rnacentral:rRNA from 1 species
UACGUAGGGGACCAGCGUUGUCCGGAUUCAUUGGGCGUAAAGCGCGUGUAGGCGGCCAGGUAGGUCCGAUGUGAAAUCUGGAGGCUCAACCUCCAGCGGUCAUUGGAAACCACCUGGCUAGAGUCCGGAAGAGGAGAGUGGAAUUCCUGGUGUAGCGGUGAAAUGCGCAGAUAUCAGGAAGAACACCGAUGGCGAAGGCAGCUCUUUGGGACGGUACUGACGCUGAGACGCGAAAGCGUGGGGAGCGAACAGG